CAGGUUAGGACUAGGCUCCAUUAGUCUCCCUCCAUCGUUUGUGCGCUCUCUUCCCAGUGCCAAUCACGUCACUAAUUGGGGGGUGGAGUGGGCAUCUGGUAGGCCACCUAAAUGCCGUAGAGGUAGGCGUGUAGAUAUAUAUAUAUAGACACCUGGGGUCCUUAUGCCGGUAUGUUAUCACUCUGCUGCUGGCACUGGUGUGAGGAAGCAGUGAUGUGGGUGCUGUCUCGAACUACAAAGGUAUGUCAAAGCGGUUUUCCUUGAUUCUGAUUCACAAGCAUGCUAAGAAAUGUUUGUCUCAAUAGUGUGUAUGGGGAAGCAGACGCUGAUUGAACCGCGAUGUACCAGUGUUUUGCGUGAUCAUUUCCAUGGACAAGCACCCGCUGGGUAUUGUGGCUGUCGUUGGGUACCUGCUAUAAACGUAGCGUUCCUUGCAUCCGGUAACGUGAGCGGCAGACUGUUUAACUGCAACCAGCAUUUGGAGUGUUGCUGUUGCUGUUCUCUACACGUAUGAUUGUGGUGGUGAUUAUUGUUUAACUAGAUUUUGGUUUGUUUUUCCUCUAGCCUGUUGAUCGUAACGAGUAUUGUAGUGAGAGUGCAGUUAUUGUACAUCACAGGCUAGAGUGGUUUCAUCAUUCCUUUGUUUUGUCCCCCCUCCCUCUCGUGUAGCCAGCCUCGGUGGUGGUGGAGCCAGGGUAGCAUACAGGGCCCUUCUGAGAAGGCAAUCUCCCUAGUUCCCCCUCUUGCACUUAAUGUAUAGCUUAGACGUGUGACAGGAAGUUGCUGUGAAGCAUGAAGUCUUAAGUCCUAAAUUAAGUUUAUCAGAGUGACAUUUAGUUGCAGUGUGUCUAUAGACAGUGAUCACGUGUGAUUGGGACCCUAACCCUUCUAGUUGUGGUUCUCAUUGUCUUCUCUGGCUCCUGUGCCGUUAGCUUGGCGAUUCCCCACUGUAUUCCCUUGUUAUUUAUUUUA